rnacentral:misc_RNA from 1 species
GUGAAUCAUCGAAUUUUUGAACGCAAAUUGCACUCUCCUCGGAGAGUAUGCCUGUUUGAGGGUCAGCCUAUAAAAAAUCGACAUCGUUGCUGUUUCGCGGUGGCGUUCGUCGGAGAUUGGGUCAUCUUGAAUCCUUUUGAUUUAAGGGAUUUAAAAUUUUCCUUUGGUUCCAUGAAUGUUUCUAAGAGCUAUUUCUUUACACGUUUAAGGUAUCGAUUUUUACUAGACGGGAUCAUCAUAUCGUAGAC